rnacentral:rRNA from 1 species
UACAGAGGGUGCGAGCGUUGUCCGGAAUCACUGGGCGUAAAGGGCGCGUAGGCGGCCUGAUAAGUAGGGGGUGAAAUCCUGUGGCUUAACUGCAGGGCUGCCUCCUAGACUGUUAGGCUCGAGCACGGUAGAGGCAGAUGGAAUUCCCGGUGUAGCGGUGGAAUGCGUAGAGAUCGGGAAGAACAUCGGUGGCGAAGGCGGUCUGCUGGGCCGUUGCUGGACGCUGAGGCGCGACAGUGUGGGGAUCGAAA